rnacentral:rRNA from 1 species
CCUGAGAAACCUAAAAGAUCGAAUAAAGAGAUUCAUCGUUCAAUAUAAAAAAUAUUAAUAUAUAUUUUGAUAUAAUUUUUUUUUAUUUAUAAUGCUUUAUUGUAUUAUUUAUAAAUUAAAUUUUAUACAUAUAUAUAUUAUUUUAAAUUUUUUAUGUCGGCGUGCACUUCUCUUUUAGUAGAACAUUGUAACCCGUUAGAUAUUAAUUUACGGCCAUUAAUUGGGUAGCCUUUAAUUUUUGAAAAAAAAUUAAAGACCAAUAUAUGUGUUUCCUAAUUAAUUGUCUGACGGUAUUGAAUAUAAGUAUAAAGUCGCAAAAUUUUUAAAAUUUUAUGCGUUCUGACCCAUCGCAAGCACAAUUAUUCUUUUUUAGUUACGGAUUUAAAUGCCGUCUAUUAAAAAUAAUUAGCUGUUGGUAUAUAUAUAUGUAUGGUGUUCUUGAACAGACUUUUUAUACUAGUUAACAAUGCUUAUGAUUUGGGUAAUUUCAGGACCCGUCUUGAAACACGGACCAAGGAGUCUAACAUGUAUGCAAGUCAUUGGGAUUAUUUUUUAAAAAAAUUUAUUUUUUUAAAAAAUUAAAAAUUAAACCUAAAGGCGUAAUGAAAGUAAAGAUUAUUAUUUUAUAAUAAUUUAAGGGAAGAUAUUUAAUAUUUUGAUAUUAAAUCGCAUUCCCGGGGCGUCUCAUUUUUUUAAUUAAAAAGAG